UACGUAGGGGGCUAGCGUUGUCCGGAUUUAUUGGGCGUAAAGAGCGUGUAGGCGGCCAGGUAGGUCUGCUGUGAAAACUCGAGGCUUAACCUCGAGAUGUCGGCGGAAACCAUCUGGCUAGAGUCCGGAAGAGGAGAGUGGAAUUCCUGGUGUAGCGGUGAAAUGCGCAGAUAUCAGGAAGAACACCCGUGGCGAAGGCGGCUCUCUGGGGCGGUACUGACGCUGAGACGCGAAAGCGUGGGGAGCGAACAGG
rnacentral:rRNA from 1 species